rnacentral:rRNA from 1 species
CCUACGGGGGGCAGCAGUGAGGAAUAUUGGUCAAUGGGCGCGAGCCUGAACCAGCCAAGUAGCGUGAAGGAUGACUGCCCUACGGGUUGUAAACUUCUUUUAUAAAGGAAUAAAGUGAGGUACGUGUGCCUUUUUGUAUGUACUUUAUGAAUAAGGAUCGGCUAACUCCGUGCCAGCAGCCGCGGUAAUACGGAGGGUCCGGGCGUUAUCCGGAUUUAUUGGGUUUAAAGGGAGCGUAGAUGGGUUGUUAAGUCAGUUGUGAAAGGUUGCGGCUCAACCGUAGAAUUGCAAUGGAUACUGGCAGUCUUGAGUGCAGGUGAGGUAGGCGGAAUUCGUGGUGUAGCGGUGAAAUGCUUAGAUAUCACGAAGAACUCCGAUUGCGAAGGCAGCUUGCUGAACUGCCACUGACGUUGAUGCUCGAAAGUGUGGGUAUCAAACAGGAUUAGAUACCCGAGUAGUC